UACGGGGGGGGCAAGCGUUGUCCGGAUUUAUUGGGCGUAAAGAGCGUGUAGGCGGCUUGGCAAGUCCGCUGUGAAAACUCGAGGCUCAACCUCGAGACGUCGGUGGAAACUGCCUGGCUAGAGUCCGGAAGAGGAGAGUGGAAUUCCUGGUGUAGCGGUGAAAUGCGCGGAUAUCAGGAAGAACACCCGUGGCUAAGGCGGCUCUCUAGUACGGUACUGACGCUGAGACGCGAAAGCGUGGGGAGCGAACAGG
rnacentral:rRNA from 1 species